CCUACGGUGGGCAGCAGUGGGGAAUAUUGGACAAUGGGCGCAAGCCUGACCCAGCCACGCCGCGUGAAGGAAGAAGGCUUUCGGGUUGUAAACUUCUUUUAUCGGGGACGAAGCAAGUGACGGUACCUGAGGAAUAAGCCACGGCUAACUGCGUGCCAGCAGCCGCGGUAAUACGUAGGUGGCAAGCGUGAUCCGGAUUUACUGGAUGUAAAGGGCGUGUAGGCGGGACGGCAAGUCAGAUGUGAAAACCAUGGGCUCAACCUGUGGCCUGCAUUUGAAACUGUAGGUCUUGAGUACUGUAGAGGCAGAUGGAAUUCCGGGUGUAGCGGUGAAAUGCGUAGAGAUCUGGAGGAAUACCAGUGGCGAAGGCGGCCCGCUGGACAGAAACUGACGCUGAGGUGCGAAAGCGUGGGGAGCAAACAGGAUUAGAUACCCCAGUAGUC
rnacentral:rRNA from 1 species